rnacentral:rRNA from 1 species
UACGGAGGGUGCAAGCGUUAAUCGGAAUUACUGGGCGUAAAGCGCGCGUAGGCGGCUUGGUAAGCUAGAUGUGAAAGCCCUGGGCUCAACCUGGGAACUGCAUAUAGAACUGCUGAGCUAGAGUGCAGAAGAGGAGUGUGGAAUUUCAGGUGUAGCGGUGAAAUGCGUAGAGAUCUGAAGGAACAUCAGUGGCGAAGGCGACACUCUGGUCUGACACUGACGCUGAGGUGCGAAAGCGUGGGUAGCAAACAGG